UUUUCAUCAAAUAUGCAUGAAAACUCCAUAUAUAGAGUUGAGUAUAUAUUAAGUCUUGUUCACUUCUGUUUUUGUUUUUUAAUACAAAUUUGUUAUAUACAAAUAUACUAUAAUCUAGUUUAUUUAACAUCACACCUCAUUUUUUAUCUUGUUUUUGUCAUUUCGUGAUCAUUAUUUUUUAUCAUUAUAAAUACCCUUUAUUUACAAAAAAAAUAAAUAUUAAUUCAAUCUCAACCACUCAUUUCAUACAAUUCCUCCAGUCGUAUAGGGUUCUCGCGAGAUGAGCUCGCGCUUGCUCCGUGAACCUUGUUGUGAAUGUUCUAAUGCUCCCUCUGUGCACGAAAAAUAUGAUAUUUUUGGUAGACACUAGUUUUAAUAAAGUUGAUGGUAAUUUUAAUUCUAAAUUUUUUUUAGAAAAACUCAUAGUAACAUUUUCUUCUUCCGUCUGUUCCCUAGCGUCAUUUCGGUCCCCGCUUAUGGAAACCAAAUCCGCAUCGACAACGCCGCAGCAAGAUGGCGGCGCCGCCGCUAAGAAGCAGGGGCUGCGGAAGCCGGUGUUCGUAAAAGUCGACAGCUUGAAGCCGGGAACGAAUGGGCACACGCUAACUGUGAAAGUAGUGACUGCCAACACCGUUCUCAACAAGAAGCCACGCAAUCCGACGUUUCGUGGGCCUCAAAGUCAGAACACGAAAAUCACGGAAUGCCUGGUUGGCGACGACACCGGAACGAUCCUCUUCACCGCCCGCAAUGACCAGGUUGAGAUGAUGAAGCCAGGUAACACAGUGGUACUCCGAAAUGCUAAAAUAGACAUGUUCAAGGGAUCAAUGAGGCUGGCAGUCGAUAAGUGGGGCCGUAUUGAGGUUGUUGAACCAGAAAAGUUUGUGGUCAAAGAGGACAACAAUUUAUCCCUAGUGGAGUAUGAGUUGGUUAAUGUUGUGGAAGAAUCUUGAAGGUUUAGUCCAUGUUGGGGUUCAAUUAAGUUUAUGGCUUCGAUCUGGUAUACUGAUUUCUCCGAUUAGUUUUUGUUUUUUUGUUUCUCUCCAUUAAAGUAAUUAUCGUGUAGGACUAAGUUAGCUUGGUUUUAAUGGUUGAUGUGUAAAAAGAUGGACCUCGAUUUAUAGCACAUCUCUGUUAGAAUUUUGUCUAUUGAUAGAUUUGCUUGUCAGCAGCAUAUGUAGUCAGCCAUAUUGAUCAUUAUCUCAGCUCGGAGUUGCAUAUCAAAAAAAAUUCUAAAAAAUGUUUAUUUUUUUAAUUCUUGUUUUUUUUUUUUAAUUUUUUAAGAUUGAAAUUUGAAUUUAAUGAAUUUUUAUUGUUAAAUUCAAUGUUUAAUUUAGUUGAUGUUCGAUUUUGAGAGCUACUUAAAUUUCAUAACUAAAAUAAUUAAGCACGUGCUGCCUAAUUACACACUCUUAUAUCAUUAAUUUUUUUUAUAUUUUUUCGUAUUAAAUAAAAAAUUAAAUAUUAUUUUUACGACUUUAUCGAGUUCAACACUUGUAAGCUUAGAGCAUCUCCAUUGGGGCUCGACUGGCCGGCGCGAGCCGUGUGUCUCUUAAAAGACUCAACGAAUGGAGAUGCUCUCAAGUAUUCAAUGGUGGGAAUGACUUGUUCAUCUUUACACGAACAAUCAAACACGCUCGUCUAUUUAUCACACUUUGAUAAUUUUCUAUUUUUUAUUAUAUAUCUUAAAAAUUAAAUUAUAUCAAAAAAUUACUAUAAUAAUUUUAUAUCAAUAAGCAUGUGAACAACAAAGUAGGACAAAAGGAAUAUUUAAUUUUGGACAACGCUUUUAGGAUUGUUCAUUGUUCGACUAAACUCAGACUCGAUCCAUUUUUACAAUCCUGAGAUAGCAUUUCUCACUAAUUUGGAAAAAUUUCCAUUUUAUUUCUCUCUGCUAUUACACAAGUGGAAACGUGUACAAGUACAACAUCCCAUUUAUUUGGAUUACAUCCAUCAAUCAAGAAGUUCAAAAAAUUCAUCAAACCUCAAGCACAAAUUCCUUUUACAGUGUUUGCAGUGGUGAGGUUUCAAAUGUUGCAUCAAGCCUUGCUUAGAUUUCCCAGAAAACAUGGUUAUGUUACGCUGGAAUUGCUUCUUGAGUAUUGAGUUAGCUUUUAGUUUCUAAGCUGCGAUAUGUAUUUGCUACAGAAUGGAUUUACAUAUCGUUAUGUUUUGAGAGCUGAUUGGCUUAUUUUUCAUCAAAUUUUGGGGCGCCUAUGCAUGAAAACUCCAUAUAUAGAGUUGAGUAUACAUUAAGCCUUGUUCACUUCUGUUUUUGUUUUUUAAUACAAAUAUACUAUAAUCUAGUUUAUUUCACAUCACACCUCAUUUUUAUCUUGUUUUUGUCAUUUCGUGAUCAUUAUUUUUUUUAUCAUUAUAAAUACCCUUUAUUUAC
rnacentral:lncRNA from 1 species